rnacentral:lncRNA from 1 species
CAGCAGCGGCACCGGCGGUGGCUGCGGUGUGGGUGGCCGGAACUGGGGUGGUGAAGAAGCGGUGGUGGCGGCUGAAGGAGCGGUAGCAGCCUCAGCCUCUUUCCCUGUGCUUCCUUUCCUCUUUAGUGCAGCGAGGAAGUUUUCGCUUCUGUACAUGUGUUUGUGUGCGUGAGUGUGGGUGUGUGCGGUGAGGUUUGGGUGGCGUUUGUGCAGGCGUUGGGUUUUUUGCCCACUUGGCUUCCCGUAACCCAGGCAGCUGGGGAGCCUGGGCUGUGGCCCUAGGAGGGGGCGCGGCGGCGGGCUCUCUCCUUUUGUUGUUGUUUCCUCAGCCUGGGGAGCUGAAGGGGAGACGCGUCUGGGUGGGGCUGCUCGGAGCCCGGGCCUGGUGGCCCCUGGGGCUCCCGGGCGGGCAGGGUAGGGCAGAGUAGAGCGGGCUUCAACAUGAUGGCGGCCGAGGCCGGCAGUGAGGAGGGCGGCCCGGUAACAGCCGGAGCUGGAGGAGGCGGCGCGGCAGCGGGCUCCAGUGCCUAUCCCGCAGUGUGUCGGGUGAAGAUACCCGCGGCCCUGCCUGUGGCAGCCGCCCCCUAUCCUGGGCUGGUGGAGACCGGAGUGGCUGGAACUCUGGGUGGCGGAGCCGCUUUGGGGUCAGAGUUCCUAGGAGCCGGGUCUGUGGCAGGGGCACUGGGGGGAGCUGGACUGACAGGGGGAGGUACUGCUGCUGGCGUAGCUGGUGCUGCUGCUGGCGUGGCCGGUGCUGCUGUUGC